GCAGAUAUAGUUUAAUUGGUAGAAUUAUGGUCUCCAAAACCAUCGGUAGAGGUUCAAACCCUUUUGUCUGCG
rnacentral:tRNA from 1 species